CGAAGACACAUUUGGUUUCCGGACAAUAACUUUAGUUUAAGUGAAUGGAUCUCUAUGAAAUUUUACCAUAAGGUUCAAUACUACAAAAGGAAGGUUGGGAUUGAUUUUGGGGGUUAUGGUACCAACAGUUAAGGAAUUAGGGGCCAAAAAGGGGCCCAAAAUAAGCAUUUUUGUAACUUCCAGACAUAACUUGUGUGUUAGUGUAUGGAUCUCUCUGACAUUGUACCACAAGGUUCCAUAUCACAAAAGGAAUGCUGGGAUUGAUUUUGGGGUAAUUGCCUCAAAAUUUUAGGAAUUAAGGGCCAAAAAAGGGGCAAAAAACAAGCAUUGUUCUAGUUUCAUGACAAUAACUUGUGUGUAAGUGUAUGAUCUUUCUGAAAUUGUACUACAAGGUUCCAUAUCACAAAGGUAAAGCUGGAAUUGAGUUUGGGGGUAAUUGCACAAAAUGUUUAGGAAUAAGGGGCCAAUAAGGGGCCAAAAAUAAGCAUUUUUCUAGUUUCAUGACAAUAACUUGUGUUCAAGUGUAUGGAUCUCUCUGAAAUUGUACUGCAAGGUACCAUACCACAAAGGAAAGGCUUGGAUUGAUUUUGGGGGUAAUUGCCUCAAAAUUUUAGGAAUAAGGGGCAAAAAAGGGGCAAAAAACAAGCAUUUUUCUAGUUUCAUGACAAUAACUUGUGUGUAAGUGUAUGGAUCUUUAUGAAAUUGAACUACAAGGUUCCAUAUCACAAAGGGAAAGCUGGGUUUGAGUUUGGGGGUAAUUGUCCUAAACGUUUAGGAAUUUGGGGCCAAAAAGGGGCCAAAAAACAAGCAUUUUUCUAGUUUCCAGACAAUAACUUGUGUUCAAGUGUAUGGAUCUCUCUGAAAUUGUACUGCAAGGUACCAUACCACAAAGGGAAGGCUGGGAUUGAGUUUGGGGGUGAUGAAUCAUAAGGGGGUUCAAAAAAUUGGGGGGGGGGAUUUUUUUUUCAUUUUUUUUCUUUAAAAUUUUCCAUUUUAAAUUGGUUAUUUCUGAUUUAUAUAUAAAAGCAAAUAAUAAUGAUAUGGUUUGAAUAGGUAAAUCAAAAAUUUUUAAGUUCUUAGACCACAUUCAUUCUGUGUCAGAAACCUAUGCUGUGUCAAAUAUUUAAUUACAAUCCAAAUUCAGUGCUGUAUCAAGCUUGAAUGUUGUGUCCAUACUUGCCCCAACUGUUCAGGGUUCGACCUCUGCUGUCGUAUCAAGCUGCGCCCCAGCGGAGCAUUUUAUUUAAUGUUCAUUUAUUCACAGAUUCAACAGGUAGAUAUAUAUAUCAGAUCUGUUCUAGUAAAGGUGUGUUUUUGUCUCUCCUUGGCGGCGUCAAAAAGCAAGACAUAUAGGUAUGCUGUUUCUGGCGGCAGCGGCAGCAUUGUCAACAAUGUAUUAGUUUGUGAUUAGGUCAGUUUCUGGGGAACCACUAGUGUUGGGUCAAUGAUAUUUGGUAUGCAGUUGUAUUAACAUUGGCACAUUUCAUUUCGUAUGAGAUUAUUUGGCCCCGCCCCCUCAGUCAUGGUCUAUUGACUUUGAAAUUUUUGCUUAGUUUACAUGUAUUAGUUUGUGAUUAGAUCAGUUUAUGGGGAAGCACUAAUGGUAGGUCAAUGAUAUUUGGUAUGCAGUUUUAUAAGCAUUGGCACAUCUCAUUUCCAUGGAGAUUAUUUGUCCCUGCCUCCUUAGUCAUUGUCUGUUGACUUUGAAACUUUUGCUUAGUUUACAUGUAUUAGUUUGUGAUUAGGACAGUUUAUUGGAUCCUCUGGUGGUAGGUCAGUGAUAUUUGGUAUUAGCAUUGACACUUUUUAUUUUCAAUCAUGGUUCAUUGACUUUGAAUAUUUUGCAUAACUUAUUUUAAUUUCAACAUUUGCAUUUUACUAUCAAAAUGACAAAAAGGCGAGACAUAUCUCUGUGUUAACAGUUUAUCAUGUUUACGGUGUAAUUUUACAUUCAAUAGUAAGUCAAUGAUUUGGUUAACUCAGCAUCCAUUGGCUUUAUGUUUGUCUGUUUCAAUGUCUGCAUCUUUGAAAUAACCUUUCAAUUUGAAGGUCAGAGAUAUUUAUAUUAAAAAAAACACUCCUUUUCUAAAAAGUAUAAAAUCCCUAAAAAACUGUUGAUUCAUGUCUUUUCAUGUUUUUGUAGUUAUUUAAUUUCAUGGUAAUGCCAAUUUUUGCAUAAAACCCUAGAGAAAUUUUACACUAUUAGUCUAUGUUGAACAUGGUUCACCAAUACCCACAAAACCAACAAAAAUUGAUAUCAUGGAAAUAAUAAAUGAAUCCACAGUAUAUUCCAUUGCAAGUAUUUGUUGAGUUUCGAGUUGGGUAAAGUUGUACAUCCAGGUCACCUUCAUGAUUUACUACUACUUUGUAGGGCUGAAUUUACAUUGUUUAGGCAAAGUUUGAUAGACACAUAUUAAAACACAAUAAAUUUUUAUGCCCCACCUACGAUAUAUAGGUUAAAAAAUAUAGGUUUAUUAUUUUGUGAAUAAAACAAAUUAUGAAAACUUAUUGAGUGAUUUAGAACAAUUGUUUACAUGAAAAGGGAAAAUGAGGAUAGAUACUUUACCUGAAUUGGAAAUACAUUGUUUAAUUAUUUCAGCAAAAGUUACCUCCCCAGCAAAAUUGCAUAUUUGUUUUAUUUUUCAACAAUUCAAUAACUGUAGUAGAUAUAUUUCUUAGAUAAAAUGUUGAAGCAAGUUCCCAUUGUCAGGUGACUAUCAAGUAUAACAAUUAACAGGGUGCUUAAAAUUUCAGUGAAUGUUUUAAAAAGGAUUUGAUACUACUACAUUGAUGUCCUUUCAGACCUUUUUGAAGCAAAGUUAUGUCAGAUAAUACACAUUUUUGUGAGCCUUUGACUUCUGUUGCAGAAAGCGAGACAUAGGGAUAGUGAUCAAACGGCUUUAAAGCUUCAUAUUUCAGAAGGUAGAAGACCUGGAUGGUUCAUACUUUGUAUAUAGAUGCCUGAUGUUAUGAAGGUUCUGUCUGUCAUAUGUCCAUUGUGCUUGACCUCAUUUUCAUGGUUCAGUGACUACUUGAAAAAAAAAGUUAUCAUUUUUAUGCCCCGCCGUAGUGUAGGAGGCAUCAAGUUUUACCCUUGUUGGUCUGUACGUCUGUACGUCCCAAAAUUGGUUUUUGUUCUCUUUAGUUUGCCUCAACCAAAUGUUAGGAAACUUAUACAAAAUGCUAAUUACCACAAAACACAGAUCAAGUUUGAAUUUGGCUGGCGUCACUUUUACCUUUCUAGCGUUAUGCCCCUUUACAAAUGGAAAAAUUGCAAUAGGUCAACUAUAUUUGGUGUAUGGAAAUAUUUUAUGAUGUAGAUCUCAGUCUUGCAGGUUUUAUUUGACAUUGACCACAUUUUCACUGUUCUGCAGGCAAGACAUUUUAGUGUAUGCACUGUUGUUUAUCUUUGAGUAGUUUUUUUUAAGCAUGAAUUUGGUAAAAUCACAUUUUCUGUUGAAUUACAAGAAUUAAAUAUUUGUUUUACAAUUUUGCCUUUAAAUUGAUUUAAAGGUGUUUUUUUUAAUAAAAUGUAAUAUGUACAAGUAUUAUAUAUUGCUUGAAAACAUUGUACUCAUAUAGUUUAUGAUUUUUAUUAGAUCUAGUCAUGAAGUUUGUCAAAGUUUAGUUAAUCAUAGAUUCAACUGGUAGAUUUAUUUCGGAUUUGUUAUAAAAUUGUGCUUUUCUUUACAGUGUGUUAUAAGAUUUAACACACAAUUAUAUUUCUUGUCUUAUUUGAAUGAAAUGUUUUGUUGAAUACAGAAAUGUCUGCAGUUUCAUACAAUAGCUUUGAAAUGUUUGUUUGAAUUAUGAUUUUUAAGGAAAUUACUGUUAAAGGACUGAUCUGAGUUUCUGCUUGAAGAAAAAAUGUAUGAAUAUAUAGGAAAAAAUUACACUUAAUUUCAAUAUUUGUAUUUAAAAAAUGAUUUCUCAGCAAUUACAUAUCAUAAUAUAUAUAUAUUUAUUGAAAAAUAAGAAUAUUUCAUGGUUACCAUAAAAGACUAUACAAGUAGAAUACCAGUAACUGUCAGAAAUUUGUAAUUUUUCUCAAAUAAUUUUUAACAAGAACUCUUUAGGUAGAUAUUCUUUUAACAUAAAAAGGGUUACCUACCAAAAGCUAGGUUUAUCACCAUAGACUGAUUUUAAUUCCCCUUAUUUACAAUGAAAAACAGGUUACUAGUAUGCUGAUUUUUUAAUGAAAUUUUAUAGGUACGAUGACCAGUUACCUUCACUUUUGAAUCUUGUCAUUAAAUGAUAGAAUUUACAUUUAAUCGGGACAAUAAUGUUAAUUUGUCUGAAUGUUAACUUUAAUGUCACUUGAAAUCAACCACUUACACUGUACUGAAGAGAUGCAUAAACUUUAAAAUUUGAAAAUGUAUAAAUCUUUUUCAAUUCUUUUGAAAGAAAUUUAAUAUUCUAAAGCAAGGUUAAAUAUUGCUUUGUCUUAAAACAGUAAGUUUUUCAAAAUCGAUGAUCUCAUAAAGCGAUGAUGUCAUGUACCCACACGUGUAUCUUCCCUUGACGCUUUUAAUUUGUAGAUUAUUCUGUAUUUCUCUAUUUUAAUUGAAUCGCACAAAACUAAGUUUUUACUAAUGAAGUAAAAAUAUUUGUCUGAAGAUAUCAGCAGUCUUUUGUUUUUAUGCAACGUUUCUGUUAUUCAAUAAAACUGUAUGUGACAGUUAAACUGUAAACUGACGAUAAGUGGUCCUCGACCAGUAGACAUCUUUUAAAUGUAAUGCAAGUUUACAAGAUUUGAUUUUUCUUAUAACAAUUUUGUCUUAUUUGAUUUAAGAAUUUUUUUAGAAGUAUAAUCUUUCAUGUAUAUGAAAAUUACACUCAGAUAGUGUUAUGGAUUCAUUAAAUUUAGUCAUGAAGUUGUUCUUUUUUAUUGAUAGAUUUAAUCAAUGCAGGACGCGACGUGCAUACUGCCAUGAGGUCCAUAGGAUACCCAUUGGGGGGCAUAUUGUUUUACCCCUGUCCGUCCGUUCUUCUGUCUGUCCUUCCGUCCAUCCAGUUAUGGGUAUAUAGCUAUUCCAGAUAACUCCUCCUACAGUUUGAAUGCUAGGAAGUUCUCACUUUGCUGGCUGUUUGUACAUAUAUUGAAGGUUUGCAUGAGCCAUGAGGGUUUUGAUUUUUAUUAAUAUUUGCUCUUUUGGGAGAUAGUUGAACUUAGUCAUUUUUGGAUUAUAUACUUACAUACAAGGUGCAUAGCGUUUCCGGAUAACUCCUCCUACAGUGAAAUAGACCUAUGUGGUCCCAUGGUCAACUUUGUGUAUUUUGAAAUAACACUUUGCAUCUCGGGGGGCAUCAUUUGUGUCUCCCAGACAAAAUAAUAUCUCAAAAGAAAGUCCUACACUGACUUUGUUAUAAUACAGUUACUUUAGAGUGAAGUGUGGGGGCAUCACUUUGUCUAGUUCGGAAAUUAAUUUUAUUAAUAAAGUAUUGUGAAAGUAUUGUGAUAUAUACAUGUAGAUGGUUAUUAUAACUUGUAAAUAUCUUAUGCUGUAUUUACAUUAUUUGUCAUGUUUUUAUAUGUUUUAUACUUGGAAUACGCAUCAUAUAUAUCAUAUGUAAAUGUGCUUUAUCUAAUAAAAUAUUUAUAUUGUU